GAAAAUCAGGAGAUAUCUUGGACACUUAGAAGAAGAAUGUUGUCCUACAUUUGCGUACGCUAUCAUGAUUCAUUAAGAGGAAAAGACUGCUUUUAAUCCUCCUCUGCUGUCACAGAAAGGAUUGGACAAUCUCUUGUUUUCAAAUGUCCUUUAUAGGUGGCAUACUUCUAGCCCUUAAGAUAUGUAAUCUGUAUGCAGUAACUGCCAGUGCCCUUACUAGUGAAAUGAAAUGAAGAGAUUGGAGUAAGGCCUGUAUGGACUAGAGUGGGCAAGGCCGUCCUCCUAACAUGUAGCAGUCUCUCCUUAAAAUGUGCUAUGCACUGUCAUGAGAGCAAACAGCAGCAAGAGGAUCAAUAAAGCACCAGGAGUCUUAGGACAGAACUUGCUAGCUCCAUGCCAAACUGCGUCAUAACUUGUGUAGAAAAGAUCGUCUAUGAAGGAAAAUAUUUUCUUGGAGGGUACAGUGUCCACGUUAUUUAAUGGACUCUGCUGUGACCUGUCAUAUGUCAAAUGUAUGAAAAGCAAUUCUUUCCAUCAUGCUUGCCAGACAUACAUCCUGCAGCACCCAUGACCUCCAAGGAGGAACUCAUCAGGUAGAUGGCCUGCUCUUCAUUGUGUAAUCCAGUGAGUGAUGCUGCCACAGAGCUAGGAGGUGGCUGUAUUCUGGCUGUGUGCAAAUAAUCCUGACAGGAGAAGGAGAUACAGAUUUCAGUGCAGCAGAAAUAGAUCUAUGGCCACCCUCUGGCUGAAAGUGUGGGUGUUACUUCCCUCCUCUGCACAUCUUUCAGUUGAGAUAAAGUGGUGAACAAAAAAUUAACUUAAAAAAAACAUAAUCCCUGUCUCCUCAGCCAAAUAUUUCUGUAGUAAUCCCUAUGGCCUAGAAGGGGAGAACACAUUAGCAAGCACAAGACUCUUACCUCUGAUUGGGACCCUCUGCUAUCCCAUAGUAAUCUGAACCUCACAGGUGGGAUGGUGGUUUUCACCCUCCCAGGGAAACCAUUUCCACCUGGGUGUGUGAUUCUGCUUUACAUUUUUUAACAUAGCAGAAAGGGCUUCUCAGUCUGAAUUUUCUGAAGCGUGCUUUGAGAUGCUUACCUGUUGUGUUUAUGGGCCUCCCAACAGUAAAAAGAAGAAAAGAUUCUUAUGGGAAAUGUGAAGUCUUGGCUUUCAUGUAAAGGACUAGAAAUAAGAGGCUGCAGGUAAAACAUAUCUCACACAGCCUCUAGCUUAAAUUCAAAGACAAAUUGAUAUAAUUAUCUGGUUGUGCUUAAAAUCCCUAAAAUGUGUUUGGGAGAGUGAUCAUGGUCUGCUAAGUCAGAAGAACCCCAAAAUCUGGUAGAUUAAAAAUGUCAUGGUGUGGUAAACGUAGGUUUUCCUCAAAUGAUUUUUUUUCUUAAACUGGGGAGAGCCUGCAGAUAUGCUGAGGCACUCAGUCUCACAAAUGCUACCACCUAUUCACCAGCCUUCACCACUAAAUCCCUCCUCAGAAAGCAAUACCAAAUAUUGUUUCUUUUUUAAUUACUUAUAUAUAGCAUGAUGCAGGAAAAAAAGAUCUUGCAAGUGAUAAUCCGAAUCAUUUUAUA